rnacentral:rRNA from 1 species
UACGGGGGGGGCAAGCGUUGUUCGGAAUUACUGGGCGUAAAGGGCGCGUAGGCGGCUUUUCAAGUCGGGCGUGAAAUCUCCGGGCUUAACCCGGAAGGGUCGUUCGAUACUGUUGAGCUAGAGUGUGGAAGAGGCAACUAGAAUUCCGUGUGUAGCGGUGAAAUGCGUAGAUAUACGGAGGAAUACCUGAGGCGAAGGCGGGUUGCUGGGCCAACACUGACGCUGAGGCGCGAAAGCCAGGGGAGCAAACGGGG